CCCACCUCAGCCUCCCAAGAAGCUGGGACCACAGGGACUUAGGGGAAGAACACAUGUUGAGAAGAUUCUUGGUUCAGCAGCAGUCCCUGAAAUGAAAGGACAUAGACAGAUGGAGUAAGGUCAAGCUUUGGAAGCAGUUCCCGGGUUUGAGGCCAAGCCCUGCCAGUUAAUUUUCUAACCCUGGGCAAGUCACAUUGCCUCAGUGAGCCGCAGAAUCUUCAACCAAAGGUGGAAAAAAAUGAAAUAAAACUUGCUUCACCUGA